rnacentral:rRNA from 1 species
UACGGAGGGUCCAAGCGUUAUCCGGAAUCAUUGGGUUUAAAGGGUCCGUAGGCGGUUUUGUAAGUCAGUGGUGAAAGCCCAUCGCUCAACGGUGGAACGGCCAUUGAUACUGCAAGACUUGAAUUAUUGGGAAGUAACUAGAAUAUGUAGUGUAGCGGUGAAAUGCUUAGAUAUUACAUGGAAUACCAAUUGCGAAGGCAGGUUACUACCAAUACAUUGACGCUGA